CAACUUACCUGGGGGGGAAAUACCAUGAUCUCGCAGGUGGUUUUCCCAGGACGAGGCUCUUCCAUUGCACUCCGGACGUGCUGACCCCUGCAGGUUCCCAAAUGUGGGAGCUCGACUGCGUAGUUUGUGGUAGUGGGGGACUGCAUUUGCGCUCUCCCCUA
rnacentral:snRNA from 1 species